rnacentral:misc_RNA from 1 species
GUGAAUCAUCGAAUCUUUGAACGCAAAUUGCGCUUCCUGGCAUCCCGGGAAGUAUGCCUGUUUGAGGGUCAGUAUUAAUUUAAAAUCGGGUUAGGUACAAAUUGUGACGUUUUCGUAGUUUUGGCUAUCUUAACAUUUUUGGUUAAGAGGGUUAAAAUUGACCGUUUUUUGCGCAUUUUUAAUCGUACAUAAAUUUUUUUUAUUCGUCUAUUUUUAAUGCCAAAAUCUUAUUAGAUGCCAUCACAUCGGUUGGCUUCGUGUCCAUAAAAU